rnacentral:lncRNA from 1 species
GCUUCUUGCAAAUUUUCUCUUUAACCUUGCAAUACAAAUAAAACACAUAACAGAGCGGGAGCUUUCCAAAAAUUAAAAGCCUUUUAAUACAAAAGAAACGAAAUACUACUUAUUCCCAAAUCUCUCGCUCCCUCCCUCUCUCUCUUCUUUGUUUUAGACUUCUAGUCCAGUUGCAGCUAAAGCGUACAAUGAUUUUAGUAAAGAAACACAAAAGGAACUGCAAGCAAGAACAUGGGAAAAAGGCAUAUAAGAAUCUAGGUUUGUGCUUCAUUCAAACAUUUCGUCCUAAAGGCAAAGAGUAUGUAUUACCUGCAACUUUGUCUUCAAGAAUGCUGAAUACCUUGGUCGACUAGGAAGGCUUGAACAUCUCAAGUAAAACUGGAAAAGUCCAGUGCUAUUAAGGCGCAAGGAUAUCCCCACCUACCAAUUAACCAAAAAAUAGCCAAUUCAAAGGCCUUUCAUAAGAGAUAUGCUCAAUGAGUAGACAGUUAUUAUACUCCAAAUUAGGAUAUCUGAUGAUUAAAAAAUAUGCCAAAGAAGAUACUUACCUAUCAAAUUUUAGAUGGGCUUGUCAGUGAAAGCUAAAAGACAGUUGUUUUCUGUCAAUUCUCUCCAUCAAUAAUUUUGCUAUCAUCAUCAUUUCUUAUACGGGGCAAGUUAGAAAAAUUCAGAAUGAACUAUUAAAGACAUGACGACAUCAAGACAAGAGACCAUGACAUUUUUUGUAAUUUUU